rnacentral:rRNA from 1 species
UACGAAGGGGGCUAGCGUUGCUCGGAAUCACUGGGCGUAAAGGGUGCGUAGGCGGGUCUUUAAGUCAGAGGUGAAAGCCUGGAGCUCAACUCCAGAACUGCCUUUGAUACUGAGGAUCUCGAGUUCGGGAGAGGUGAGUGGAACUGCGAGUGUAGAGGUGAAAUUCGUAGAUAUUCGCAAGAACACCGGUGGCGAAGGCGGCUAUCUGGACAGAGUCUGACGCUGAGGCGCGAAAGCUAGGGGAGCAAACAGG